AAGUAUUUCUGCUGGAGUCUUUCUGUGAUUUUGAAUCCUGAUCAUUACCAGAGUGUUCAGGCACAAGAAUGUGAAGCAGCAUGCACAUGAGGAAUUACCUACCCACGGUGUGGGACAGUGGAAGGAAUGUUGGACUCCAGAUCAGAGGAACUGAGUUCAAAUCCUGAUUCUUCUCCUUACUUUGGUUUCCCCAAGGAAGAAUGGCAGAACACAUUCUCUGUAGCUCCUUCAGUCCCCCUUACUGGGAUAGUCUGGAGGGCUUUGGGACUCCCAGGGUUCAGGCAAAAAAUUGGUUGUUCGUUAUUGGUGGGGUGCCAAUAACUGACGCUGGUUUUGUGGCUGCAGGGCCUCAUGCCCACUUUUCUGGGCUCUCAUGGCACAGAUGUGAGCGAGGCACAAAGGAAGAAGGUGAUUGUUGGGAUAGCCGCAAGGAGGAAAGAGGAAAAAGAGAGCCGAUCAGGAA